GGAUUAACGCUGGCAGUGUGUAUAAUACAUGCAAGUCGACUGCAUUUAGGUGCAGGGCAGACGGGUGAGUAACACGUUGGUUAUCUGCCCCGAACUCAGGGAUAACAUCGAGAAAUCGGUGAUAAUACCGGAUGGUCCCGCAAGGGUAAAGAUUUUUCGGUUCGGGAGGAGCCUGCGUAGUAUCAGCUUGUUGGUGAGGUAAUGGCUCACCAAGGCUAUGACGCUUAGCUGGUCUGAGAGGAUGAACAGCCACACUGGGACUGAGACACGGCCCAGACUCCUACGGGAGGCAGCAGUAAAGAAUCUUCCGCAAUGGACGAAAGUCUGACGGAGCAACACUGCGUGGUGGAUGAAGGCUUUCGGGUCGUAAACACCUUUUCUAGGGGAAGAAGUUCUGACGGUACCCUAGGAAUAAGCACCGGCUAAUUACGUGCCAGCAGCCGCGGUAAUACGUAAGGUGCAAGCGUUAUCCGGAAUUAUUGGGCGUAAAGCGUCCGUAGGCGGUUUUAUAAGUCUGUGGUUAAAUCCCAGGGCUCAACCCUGGAAUCGUCAUGGAAACUAUAAGACUUGAGGUAUGCAGGGGUAGAUGGAAUUCCAGAAGUAGGGGUAAAAUCCGUAGAUCUCUGGAGGAACACCAAACGCGAAGGCAGUCUGCUGGGCACUUACUGACGCUAAGGGACGAAAGCAUGGGUAGCGAACGGGAUUAGAUACCCCGGUAGUCCACACCGUAAACGAUGGAUACUCGGUAUUGGAGGCUUCGACCCCUUCGGUGCCUAAGCUAACGCAUUAAGUAUCCCGCCUGGGUAGUACGGUCGCAAGAUUAAAACUCAAAGGAAUAGACGGGGACCUACACAAGCGGUGGAGCAUGUGGUUUAAUUCGAUAAUAAGCGGGAAACCUUACCAGGGCUUGACAUCUUGAGAAUUCUCUAGAAACAGAGAAGUGCCUUCUGGAACUCAAUGACAGGUGUUGCAUGGUUGUCGUCAGCUCGUGCCUUGAGGUGUACUGUUAAGUCAGGAAACGAGCGCAACCCUCAUUGUAUGUUGCAUAUUUCAUGCGAGACUGCCGACUCCAAGUCGGAGGAAGGCGAGGAUGACGUCAAAUCAGCAUGGCCCUUAUGUCUUGGGCUACACACGUGCUACAAUGGUCGAUACAAUGGGUUGCCAAAUCGUAAUGCGGAGCCAAUCCCAUCAAAAUCGAUCUCAGUUCGGAUUGAGGGCUGCAAUUCGCCCUCAUGAAGUUGGAAUCGCUAGUAAUCGUGAAUCAGAAUGUCACGGUGAAUAUGUUCCUAGGUCUUGUACUCACCGCCCGUC
rnacentral:rRNA from 1 species